rnacentral:lncRNA from 1 species
UUUUUUGGAAAAGGCUCCGUGCAAAAUGCCAUUUUUGAAGUGAAUCAAUUUAAGGAGAGGGGCAAAAUGGUCCAUUUUUGGAAAUAUUGAGAAUUUGGAAACAAGGUCAAUGCAACUAGCUCCCAAUGGAUAUUUUUGACUUGUGUCAAGUGAAAAAUUCUGCUGAAUGUGCUUCUAACCAUUCAAAAGAGCUUAACUCCAAAUUUCACAAAAACCAU